rnacentral:lncRNA from 1 species
GUAGGGGCCCUGAGGUAUGGGCUCACAGAAGGGCCGCAGCUCUUCUCCCCUUCUCAUCGCCCGCAGCGCAGUGAGAGGGAGGGUGUGUUUCAGAGGGCUGUGUUUCAGUCUGUUUUUUACAGCUCUUUCACAGUCCUGGGGCCCCGCUCCAGCCCGCAUCUCCUGGACUGGCCUGGCCCGGCCUCUGCUUCCUGUUGUGUGGGGCAGCCACCCACUGCUGGCAGAAGGUGGGAGGGCUAUAGUGUUACAGCUCUGGCUCAGGCAACACCAAGGUCUGGGCCCCCAGAAGAAUCACUACUCUUCACUCCCACAGUCUGUGAGCGUGUCACUGCCCGCAGCUCGGUGGAGACCUAUUCUGUUGGGUUAGAGAUGACAGAAAAUCUUAUUUGUCGGUUGGUUUGUUUGUUCAAGAAUACACUGACCUUCUACAAGAAAGGAGAGCUCUUUGACACCUGGAAAUUUUACAGAAGCUUGGGACAGCUCUGAAUGGCAACACGGUCCUGAGAUAUGUGAUUACCUGGGACUUUCAUUGGACCUGCAUUUCAGCUCUACUCUCCUCACUGCCCUAUGCUGCUUUGACCCUAAAAGUGAAGCCAGCUUGGCCAGGUGCAGUGACUCACACCUGUAAUCCCAGCACUUUGGGAGGCCGAGGUGGGCAAAUCAAGAAGUCAGGAAAUCGAGACCACCCUGGCCAACAUUGUGAAACACCAUCUCUACUAAAACACAAAAAAAUUAGCCAGGUGUGGUGGCACGCACCUGUAGUCCCAGCUACUCGGGAGGCUGAGGCAGGGGAAUCACUUGAACCCGUGAGGAGGAAAUUGCAGCGAGCCAAGAUCGCGCCACUGCACCCCAGCCUGGGCGACAGAGAGAGACUCCAUCUCAAAAACAAAACAAAACAAAACAAAAAAAACAAAAAGUGAAGCCAACUCAAUUGUCUCAUAGAACUGAUCUUUACGGUGUUUUUAAAUAAACAUAGAAAUUGGCCCUCCCAGUCUUAAAACUUCAAAAACUUACAUUUGUCUUACCUCAGUUCCUUUCUCAGGAAUCCAAUCAUCAAGGCUCCCAGAUAGUAUCAAUGAACGGAAACUUACCAGAUCACGAUAUCUGGACAAUGAGAUGUCAGAUCCCCCUCAUCCAUCCUGAUUACCUAACUGACUACCUGCUUCCUGUUGGCCAACUACUCUUCCUUACCCCUCCCUAAUUCUUGUUUUCCCACAAAUGGUUACAUUUCUGUCCUGCUAUAGAAGCCCUUAAUUUUAAUUGGUCGAGGAGAUGGAUUUGAGACUGAUUUUUUGCUCUCCUUGGCUGUUGCACCUGAAUAGCCUUUUUCCCUGGCAAUACUUUUUGUCUCAGUGAUUGGCUUUCUGUGCAGUGAGCAAUGGGACCAAACUUCUGGUGUUUUGGUAACAAAUUUUGGUUUCCUGACUGUGAAUGCAUUGCUUGUGACUCAGCUGCCAUGAGCUGGGAGAGUUUCAAAAGCCCUCUAAGCAGCUACCUGACCAUUUUGGCCAGAGGUGGAUUUUCGUCUCUCCCCAUUUGGGCCCACUUCUGCCAACCCCAACCAUGUUCCUGAUUGCCUAGGAAGAACAGCCUUUGAAAUUUGACGUCUAUGUACAGAAAGGUACAAACUGUUGCCUAAGGAUACAGGGUGUGUGGCUGGUGGCCUCAACAGGCCCCACGGCUCAGGCACUCAGACCCAAGCUGGUCCCUCAGACUAAAUGGUUUUCCUGGGAACUCUGACUCUGGCCACAAGAUCAAGACUGACAAAUUUCCUUUCUCUGUUUAUGGAGGGAGACUUCACAACAUUCACUGAAAGAGGAGCAAAGGACCUGGUUUUUGCCAUGACUGGCUUUGGCCCCGUGAAUGAAUGUUUUUCUGGCAUUGGAAAGCGGAUAGCAAAGAGAGCAGAACCACAAAUGGGCUAUGAGGAAAUGUGUUCAAUGAAGAAAACAAAAUCUCUGACAAGAUCCAACAUAGGACAACAUCUCAGCAUCUUCUGUGAUUUGUGAACCCAAGUAAAGCACUUCUUAGAGUUAUCUGGCACAUUCGCAACUAAUAGCUUUCUGUGAAUAAAUACUGUGGCAACCACGUUAACUGUACAAAAACAAAUUGCUUAUUUCUUAUAUCCAUGCUGGAAGAUUAUCUGGCUGACCUUAUCAGCUGUGAUGUCAGGAAUGUCAGCCAGUUAUCCUGUGGUGCAUUCAGCUGGGUCAUUGUACCCCAUCAGUGAGGCAAUUGCAAAGUUCCAUCUGGACAGAG